GCUGCGAUGGCCGAGUGGUUAAGGCGUUGGACUCGAAAUCCAAUGGGCGAUGCCCUCACAGGUUCGAAUCCUGUUCGCAGCG
rnacentral:tRNA from 2 species